ensembl:rRNA 5S_rRNA 5S ribosomal RNA
GCUUGCAGUCAUCCCGCCCUAAAUGCAUCUGAUCUGGUGAGAUCUCAGGAGCUAAGGAAGGUCAGGACUGAUUAGUUUGUGAAUGGGAGACCUCAUGGGAAUACUGGGGGCUGGAGGCU